UAUGUGAUCGUCUCUCGCAUAUCAAUAAGCGGAGGAAAAGAAACUAACAAGGAUUCCCCUAGUAACGGCGAGUGAAGCGGGAAGAGCUCAAAUUUGAAAUCUUAAAGGGUUUCCCUUUACGAAUUGUAGUUUAAAGAAGUGUUUUCUGUUGAGGUUUUGGUAAAAGUUCUUUGGAAUAGGACAUCAUAGAGGGUGAGAAUCCCGUAUUUGACCUUUACUUUCAACUUUGUGAUACACUUUCAAAGAGUCGGAUUGUUUGGGAAUGCAGUCCAAAAUGGGUGGUAAAUUUCAUCUAAAGCUAAAUAUUGGCGAGAGACCGAUAGCGAACAAGUACCGUGAGGGAAAGAUGAAAAGAACUUUGAAAAGAGAGUUAAACAGUACGUGAAAUUGUCAAAAGGGAAGCGUUUGACACCAGUGUUGUUUUUCUGAAAAUCAAUUAAAGAACUGUUUAUGCUAAGUUGUUUAGACUUUAUCAGCUAUCUGCUUAGUUUUGAGCUUUUCUUUAAUGCACUUUUCAGUUAACAAGUCAACAUCAAUUUCUUUUGCUGAUAAAAAAGCUUGAGGAAGGUGGCUUGAGAUUCGUCUUAAGUGUUUAUAGCCUCUUGCCUAUGCAGUCGGAGAGAUUGAGGUCUGCAGCGUAGAUCCUUCGGGGCUAAAUGCAUUUGUGCUAAGUUAUAGCAUUUUAUAGACAACUUGUUGACUAUGAUUUGUCUUGUAGCUUACUCGCUUAUGUUAUUUUACCUACGCUUAGGAUGUUGAAGAUAUGCGCGACACG
rnacentral:rRNA from 1 species